rnacentral:rRNA from 1 species
UGGGGAAUAUUGCACAAGGGGCGCAAGCCUGAUGCAGCCAUGCCGCGUGUAGGAAGAAGGCCUUCGGGUUGGAAAGUACUUUCAGCGGGGAGGAAGGGAGUAAAGUGAAGACCUUUGCUCAUUGACGUUACCCGCAGAAGAAGCACCGGCUAACUCCGUGCCAGCAGCCGCGGUAAUACGGAGGGUGCAAGCGUUAAUCGGAAUUACUGGGCGUAAAGCGCACGCAGGCGGUUUGUUAAGUCAGAUGUGAAAUCCCCGGGCUUAACCCGGGAAUUGCAUCUGAUACUGGUCAGCUAGAGUCUUGUAGAGGGGGGUAGAAUUCCAUGUGUAGCGGUGAAAUGCGUAGAGAUGUGGAGGAAUACCGGUGGCGAAGGCGGCCCCCUGGACAAAGACUGACGCUCAGGUGCGAAAGCGUGGGGAGCAAACAGG